GUACUUGAUGCUGGUAUCGGAUCCGAUACCGAUACUGGUAUCGGUAUCGGGACACCUCUAGUAAUUUUCCGUUUUUGUUUCUAUUGAGGAGACAUUUGUAGGCUAGAAUGUCAUUCCAAGUGACGGCCGUCUUGACAUUUGUUUGAAAAUGUCGCUUAGGUAGUGCACAGGGCACGAGUUCAGCCAAAGAAUGCGACCAGCGAGCUUCUUUUUGAGCACAGGCCAUGGUAAACAAAUAUGGCGCUGAACGCCGUGAAAAAGUGUCUGCAGGUAUGGAGUCUGAUAAGUUGGCUUCCCCGACGGUGGCUGUUUCAGUUUUAAAACAGCUCGGCUGCUUUCCGGGAUCGCUUAGUGGAACGUGAUUCAAUGCUUAAAUCAAGAAGAAUGUUUUAGUCUCUCUGAUUUUCGGGACUGUUAAAUGGAGCAGAUUGGGGUUUUCCUGUUUCGGCCGCGCAACGUCACCUCCUGUGGGUGUGGCCUGGUGGGGUGGGGUGGGGUGACCCGGGCCUGGUCAUUCCCCCCCCACUGUAAACCAUAUGUUGAAAGGAGGGGGCGCGCGGAGGCGACAGAUUUCCCGUUUUGUUUUCUUUUUCAUAAACCCCUAACAUAUGCACAAAAACGGUUGCAUUUAUAAGUGACUAAGGGUUUUUUUAAAGGAAUUUGCUGAACUAGUGUUUUCAUUUGUUUGUUUUCUGUUACAAAUGAUUUUUGUGUCAAUAUAGAGUGGGGAUUUGUUCAAUUCCCUGAAGCAAGGGGAGAGUGUUUUUUUUGUUUGUUUUAUCUUAAAAUAAGAUGCAGAGAGGUAAAAAAUGUAAUAAAUCAUUCAAACUUGAAAUAGAAUGCACGACUUGUUUACAUGCCAUUUAAAAAAUAUAUAUACACCAAAGUAUUUCAAACAGACUGGGAAAAGGGAAAAAAAUGAUUUUUAUUUUUUUUUUGGUUGUCUGAGGUUUGUUUUAUGAAGGUUGUUGAAGCAGCWUUAAAGGGCAUCGUUGAAAAAAAAAAGUUUAAAAUGCCUGAUAUUAUCUGCAUGCUGUUGAAUGAAUAGAGAAAACUGUUUCAUUAAUUUCUUUGGUGUGUGUGUGUGUGUGUGUGUGUGUGUGUGUGUGUGUGUGUGUGUGUGCUUGGUUUCUUAUGUAACGGGGGAGUUUGGUUUUCCUGAUGGUCCUCUGCUCUUUCCCGGGCCCACUCCCAACCGCCGAGACCCGAGACCUGGACUAAUGAUGGACACGCGGACAAAUGGACAGUGAUGCUGAGACCAGAAGACUAUAAAGGCCAGCGCUAAGAAGAUCAUCCACAGACCAGCACCAUGAAGGCGAGAUAAUGUUGUCAUUUCUGCCUGGUUGCCUAACACUAACCCACCCCCAACAUUCUUUCAACAUGCAACAGCAGCAAAAGACCUUGGAACCGAGUGACUAUUAUCUGUCCAUCUGCGGAGAAGACUGUGAAAGUUGAUGAAACAAAGCUUCAAAGUCUGAUAGUAACAGAGCCAGCAGCUGUUUGCCACUCUACAGCACCCCAUCGUCAGAUCAAUCAGCCUGACGCUACAUCAGGCUGAUUUUGCUGUUUCUGACAAGCUGUGACAAAUGGCAGCAUCAACGAUAAAGUCCUGCAAAACAUCGGCAUGAGUGACCGUCACAAGACUGAUGUGGGAAGACAAGAGAGAGAGGGGGGAGCGGCGCUCUCUGGCAGGGUUUUCACAGCAUCAUCGCCUCAAUCAAUGCUAACGAGCACACCUGUGGAUGGCCUGGGCGGUUUUUGGAUCCAAGUUCAACCAGGGUCAAAGUGAUGACCACGACCGGGCCGGGUUCUGGUGGGGAAGAGUGGGCACGAAUUGAGUCAGACGGCCACCCCCCACCCCACCCAUGGAGAAAAGAUGAGUAAACUCACAAACACGCUGUCAUAUGUUCUGUAAAAGAAACUUUUUCUUUCUUUUAUUUUUUUUAUUGUAUGAACAGUAAUAGAGAUGUAGAAAAAACAGCUGCUCUGAAACUAUGAACUUUGACAAAGUAAAAUGUUGAACAAACUAUCUGGCAUUAAUUUUGAAGAAUGUUUUGAUAACAAGUGUAGAAGUUUUUUCUAUAAUCCUUUUUGUUUCUGUGUUUUAUUUCUAUGUGGACUUUGGACUCUGCUCUCCGGCCUGCGUCUGCCACUCCCUAACCUGGCCCACCCACYAACUUUGAAGAGGAGGGGGGGCCGGGRAACCUGGUUCGGUGUGAGCUGUGCAGUGCGGUCACGUUGUUCUCCAGACGUAGGUUCCAGUGAGGAUGAGGAUGAUGAUGAUGCACCAGCAGAAAAUAAAUUGAUGCGCCGGCCCACUGGGAAAAGUCCCGGUACUCCCAAUUGCCAGUCCGCCCCUGAGGAAGGGCUUGACAUUGUUUAACUAUUUUGGUAUUGUUUGAAUUUGUUUUUGGGAAAAAAAGAGACAUAAGAUUUUUUUUCUUUCUGCUUCCUUUCCUUUAAGUUUUUUUUAUAUAGAUUUCUUUCUUUUUGUUUUUUUAAUGAAUGAUUAAAAAAAAUACUGCAUCAAUGUGGUGGGUGAUCAGCCUGGUACUGCUGAGGAAGAUAGUGGUUUAUAAUCUAUAUGGUUUCAUUUUCUGAAAUGGUUGAUAAAGUAACUUUUUCACAGUAUAUUUUCUGAGCUGCACCUGUAUAGGGUGGUAUUUGGUUUUGCUUCCAUGACUAUGUGGACAGCAAAUUUACUGUUAAAAUGCUACUUUUACAAACUUAAUAAAAUGUUUGUCGACAACG